GGAAAUCGAAUCCUGUGUUUGGGGGAUGUCAGAUUUGUUUGGUUGCGGAGAAGAAGAAAAAGAGAAGGUAAAGUGACAAAACUGGAGAAGGGGGUUUACGCAGGUUGAAGGAGGAGGUUUCCCUUGAAAUAGGAAAGUAGCUUUACCUGAUUUCAACGACCUUCUUAAAAUCAUUAUCAAAGGCUCUGGCAAGGAAUCUAUGGAAGUCAAAGAUUGCAAUACUGGGGGAUGGCGCUGACAAAUCAUUCAACUUACUGGCCAAAGCAAGAAGGAAUGAUCACUCCAAAGUUUCAAAUGUCUUCGCCCAAAAGAUGUUUGGCGGAUAUUGCAUGGGAUUUCACAGCCUGGUUGAUGUGCCUAAACUGUUACGGUCAAUGAUAAUGAAGCACAGCGCACAGAAGAAGUUUAAAGACGCUUGAGGUCUCUAUACAUAUGCAGAGAACCAUCUGUAUUAUUAUUGAAAAGAGUUGUGUUUGAUUCGGAGCCUGUAAUUUGAGCUGCAGAAGAAACAGCUGGUUCCACGAACGACGCAGGAUCUUUGCAAGGAAGAAAGGAGUUUGCGACAGAUUCAGCGACACAGAUGUUUGAUAUGGGUGCUUCGGAUACCGUAAGAAGGACCAAUAUGAAACCCAUUGUCAUCAUCUCUACACAAUGAUCAUUAAGAUGAGAUAGAGACUUUCUGAUUGUGCAUAAAUCAAAAAAAGCUCUGCUAAUAAGCUUGUAACUAACCUGUUUUGAUCUUCUCCAAAGCUAUACUGAGGGAUUUUCUCUUCCUUCUUCUCAGGAACUGAAAGAUGAUUCAGCAAUGCUAAGUUCAUUUAGCUCCAUAGUUACAAAAGCAUCGCAUAUGUAUAUAUACACACAAGCAUAUGUAAAUACAAUAUACCUUUGAAAU